UACGAAGGGGGCUAGCGUUGUUCGGAUUUACUGGGCGUAAAGCGCACGUAGGCGGAUCGUUAAGUCGGGGGUGAAAUCCUGGAGCUCAACUCCAGAACUGCCUUUGAUACUGGCAAUCUCGAGUCCGGAAGAGGUGAGUGGAACUCCUAGUGUAGAGGUGGAAUUCGUAGAUAUUAGGAAGAACACCAGUGGCGAAGGCGGCUCACUGGUCCGGUACUGACGCUGAGGUGCGAAAGCGUGGGGAGCAAACAGG
rnacentral:rRNA from 1 species